rnacentral:lncRNA from 1 species
UCGGCUCCGUCCAGCGUUCGUCGGGUUAUCAUGAGUGCUCCUCUCUCGACUGACCUCCGGUCAAAGUACAACGUCCGAUCUAUGCCGAUUCGGAAGGAUGACGAGGUCCAAGUCGUCCGUGGAACUUACAAGGGCCGUGAGGGCAAGGUAGUGCAGGUGUAUCGUAGGAAGUGGAUUAUCCACAUCGAGCGCAUCACUCGGGAAAAGGUUAACGGUUCCACUGUCAACGUCGGCAUCAAACCCUCGAAGGUCGUGAUUACGAAGCUCAGGUUGGACAAGGACCGUAAGUCACUUCUGGAUCGUAAAGGCAAGGGCCGCGCCGCCGCCGACAAGGAUAAGGGUACCAAGUUCACCGCCGAGGAUAUCAUGCAGAGCGUCGAUUAAUUUUGAAAAUGGUGAUGUUUAAUUUGAUAGAACUGUUAUUUUCUUUCAUAGUUAUCUAUUGUGUUUUGUGUUCUUAAGAUACUAGGAAAAUUUUCCUCGGACAUGUGGCUAUAAUUGUCGACUCUAGAGGCCUUAAUUUUUAUGGUAUUUUUAAAUCAC